rnacentral:rRNA from 1 species
GGCGAACGGGUGAGUAACACGUGAGUAACCUGCCCUUGACUCUGGGAUAACUGCUAGAAAUGGUAGCUAAUACCGGAUACGACCCUCGGAGGCAUCUCCAGGGGGUGGAAAGAAUUUCGGUCAAGGAUGGACUCGCGGCCUAUCAGCUAGUUGGUGAGGUAAUGGCUCACCAAGGCGACGACGGGUAGCCGGCCUGAGAGGGUGACCGGCCACACUGGGACUGAGACACGGCCCAGACUCCUACGGGAGGCAGCAGUGGGGAAUAUUGCACAAUGGGCGAAAGCCUGAUGCAGCAACGCCGCGUGAGGGACGAAGGCCUUCGGGUUGUAAACCUCUUUUAGUAGGGAAGAAGCGAAAGUGACGGUACCUGCAGAAAAAGCACCGGCUAACUACGUGCCAGCAGCCGCGGUAAUACGUAGGGUGCAAGCGUUGUCCGGAAUUAUUGGGCGUAAAGAGCUCGUAGGCGGUUUGUCGCGUCUGCUGUGAAAUCCCGAGGCUCAACCUCGGGCCUGCAGUGGGUACGGGCAGACUAGAGUGCGGUAGGGGAGAUUGGAAUUCCUGGUGUAGCGGUGGAAUGCGCAGAUAUCAGGAGGAACACCAAUGGCGAAGGCAGAUCUCUGGG